rnacentral:rRNA from 1 species
UACGAACGCUGGCGGCGUGCUUAACACAUGCAAGUCGAACGAAGAGCGAUGGAAGCUUGCUUCUAUCAAUCUUAGUGGCGAACGGGUGAGUAACGCGUAAUCAACCUGCCCUUCAGCGGGGGACACCAGUUGGCAACGACUGCUAAUACCGCAUACGAUCUAAUCUCGGCAUCGAGGCGAGAUGAAACGUGGCCUCUACAUGUAAGCUAUCACUGAAGGAGGGGAUUUCGUCUGAUUAGCCAGUUGGAGGGGUAACGGCCCAACAAGGCGAUGAUCAGUAGCCGGGCUGAGAGGGUGAACGACCAAAAUGGGGCUGAGACCCGGCCCAGACUCCGACGGGGAGCAGCAGUGGGGAAUCUUCCGAAAUGGACGACAGUCUGACGGAGCAACGCCGCGUGAGGGAUGGCGGCCUUCCGGUUGUAAAGCCCUGUUAAUCGGGACGAAAGGCCUUCUUGCGAAUAGUGAGAAGGAUUGACGGUACCGGAAUAGAAAGCCACGGCUAACUACGUG